rnacentral:rRNA from 2 species
UCUGGUGGCGAUAGCGAAGAGGUCACACCCGUUCCCAUACCGAACACGGAAGUUAAGCUCUUUAGCGCCAAUGGUAGUUGGGACUUUGUCCCUGUGAGAGUAGGACGUUGC